rnacentral:lncRNA from 1 species
GCGCCACUGUCAACAUGUGGAUGUGAAAACUUAAGUAGAUUAUUUAUCGUGGAAUAAUUACAAUUGUUUACCCUUCUACGUGGAAUUUAUAUGGUAAUGGUAUGAACUGAGAUGAUUUAUUCAGUUACCUUCAACUGGUCAGUGGUCAACAAGAGAGUAUUAUGGUGUGUCUUGAAGCAUUGAAUGCUCCAAAACAACCAGUAUGAUAAGAAGGCCAGAGUAUACAGCUUCCCAAAAUGUUGAAAGACUGAUCUGUUUUCUAAGGACUUGUACAUCUUAUGUGUUCAAGUUCAACAUACCCCUUCCUCGCCUUCAGUCGACUGGUAAUUUAUGGAGGAAAAUUGACAAUAUUCACAUGUUUAUUUAUAGGCACGGCAGUGUGUGUUUUCCAGAACUGUGAAAAGUGUGUAUGUGUCAUAUAUAAACGUUUAAAGUAAUCACUUAUUAUGUAUAUUGUUUUUUGGUUGCGGGUUUAUCCCGCUACAAAAGUUAAAGUGUAUUUUUGACAAUCAUAGCAUUUUUAUUUUAUUCCGAAUCACAUCCAAAGGAUGUUCAUGAGCUAUACAAAAUGGUCCCAUUUAUGAACAAU